GUACUACUGACGAGUCUCAAACAGGACAAAACAGUUGUCCAGUGC
rnacentral:hammerhead_ribozyme from 1 species